rnacentral:rRNA from 1 species
CCUACGGGGGGCUGCAGUGGGGAAUAUUGGACAAUGGGGGCAACCCUGAUCCAGCCAUGCCGCGUGUGUGAAGAAGGCCCUCGGGUUGUAAAGCACUUUCAGUGAGGAAGAACGCCUGGUGGUUAAUACCCAUCAGGAAAGACAUCACUCACAGAAGAAGCACCGGCUAACUCCGUGCCAGCAGCCGCGGUAAUACGGAGGGUGCGAGCGUUAAUCGGAAUUACUGGGCGUAAAGCGCGCGUAGGUGGCUUGAUAAGCCGGUUGUGAAAACCCCGGGCUCAACCUGGGAACGGCAUCCGGAACUGUCAAGCUAGAGUGCAGGAGAGGAAGGUAGAAUUCCCGGUGUAGCGGUGAAAUGCGUAGAGAUCGGGAGGAAUACCAGUGGCGAAGGCGGCCUUCUGGACUGACACUGACACUGAGGUGCGAAAGCGUGGGUAGCAAACAGGAUUAGAUACCCUGGUAGUC